AUUAUCUUCACAACCAUUCAAACUAAACAAACACUCCCUUCUUCUCCAUAGAGCUCACGGCUCAAACAACCCUUCACACACUAUCCAUUUCAAUUCAUUCCCAAGUAAUCUAAGGUGUUUCAAGGAUGAUUCAAGCACACUAAGGAAGGUGGGAAGCAUCAAAAGUUGAGGGACCUUCAUGGAGUGAUAUUAACCACCACAUUUCUUCAUCACUUUGCAACUUGUUCUUCCCUAGCCAUAGUGCUAGAAGUCAGGAAUUAUUUUGGAAAUUUGACUUUGCUAGCAUACGCUUCGGAACGCAAAACAGUAAUCCAAGGAUAUAAAAUCAUGGAAAAAUUGUUCCUUUCAAGGACACCAGAACAGAAGAAGAAAAAUUUAUAACAACCCUCGGUAACAAUAUGUGAAAGCCAAAUAGAAGCCAGCUGGACAGCACUGAAGGCUUGGAAAAGUGGCAAUAAAGUUACCUAAGAAUAAAAUGGAUGUUUUUAUUAAAUAAAUAGGAUGUAUUCCUAUGAAACGUGUGUAUUGAAAACUUGGGUUUUUACCCAUAUGUUUAAUGUUAUAAAACAUGGUGGUUUACUCUGAUUAAAAUA